AGAGUGCACCUGCGAUCCUCGCACCUCUCUGGACACCAGCUGCACCGCCUCAGGUCACUGUCACUGCCGGCCCAGCUACAGCGGAGCCACAUGCGAGCAGUGUGCUCCCGGUUACUAUGGUUACCCAGCCUGCACCCCCUGUCAGUGCUCUGCAGAGGGCUCUCGUUACACCAGCUGUGACCAGGUGACGGGACAGUGUGUGUGUCUGCCCAACGUGGUCGGACUGAGGUGUGACAGCUGUGCACACGGUGCCUACGGCUUCCCCAACUGCCAGACCGGUACCUGUCAUCCUGCCGGCUCCGUCCAGUACGUGGUGCAGCCUCCGGUCGGUCAGUGUGAGUGUCGUCACAAUGUGGAGGGUCCAGCCUGCGACCAGUGCAAACCUCUGUACUGGAGCCUGUCGUACGACACUCCUGACGGGUGCACCAACUGUGAGUGUCACACUGCAGGGACUCUCAGUGGCGUGGCAGAGUGUGCACAGG